AGAGUUUGAUCCUGGCUCAGAACGAACGCUGGCGGCAGGCUUAACACAUGCAAGUUGAACGGGAUUUGUGUGGUGCUUGCACCAUAUAAUGAGAGUAGCGCACUGGUGAGUAACACGUGGGAACGUGCCUUUUAGUGGGGGAUAACAUCUGGAAACGGAUGCUAAUACCGCAUACGCCCUGAGGGGGAAAGAUUUAUUGCUAAGAGGUCGGCCCGCGGUAGAUUAGGCAGUUGGUGGGGUAAAGGCCUACCAAACCUACGAUCUAUAGCUGGUCUGAGAGGACGAUCAGCCACAUUGGAACUGAGACACGGUCCAGACUCCUACGGGAGGCAGCAGUGAGGAAUAUUGGGCAAUGGAGGCAACUCUGACCCAGCCAUGCCGCGUGAGUGAGAAGGUUUUCGAAUUGUAAAGCUCUUUCGGGUGUGAAGAUGAUGACGGUAACACCAGAAGAAGCCCCGGCAAACUUCGUGCCAGCAGCCGCGGUAAUACGAAGGGGGCGAGCGUUGUUCGGAAUUACUGGGCGUAAAGGGUGUGUAGGCGGUUAAGUAAGAUAGUGGUGAAAUGCCGGGGCUCAACCUCGGAAUUGCCAUUAUGACUAUUUAGCUAGAAUGAUGCAGAGGAUAGCGGAAUACCCAGUGUAGAGGUGAAAUUCGUAGAUAUUGGGUAGAACACCAGAGGCGAAGGCGGCUAUCUGGGCAUUGAUUGACGCUGAGGCACGAAAGCAUGGGGAUCAAACAGGAUUAGAUACCCUGGUAGUCCAUGCUGUAAACGAUGAAUGCUAGUUGUUGGAGGAAUUCAGUGACGCAGUUAACACAAUAAGCAUUCCGCCUGGGGAGUACGGUCGCAAGAUUAAAACUCAAAGGAAUUGACGGGGACCCGCACAAGCGGUGGAGCAUGUGGUUUAAUUCGAUGCAACGCGAAGAACCUUACCUGGUCUUGACAUCCACAGAACUUUCCAGAGAUGGAUUGGUGCCUUCGGGAACUGUGAGACAGGUGCUGCAUGGCUGUCGUCAGCUCGUGUUGUGAAAUGUUGGGUUAAGUCCCGCAACGAGCGCAACCCUUAUCCUUUGUUGCCAGCGGUUAGGCCGGGAACUCAAAGGAGACUGCCAGUGAUAAACUGGAGGAAGGUGGGGAUGACGUCAAGUCAUCAUGGCCCUUACGACCAGGGCUACACACGUGCUACAAUGGCAUAUACAAAGAGAAGCGACCUCGCGAGAGCAAGCGGACCUCAUAAAGUAUGUCGUAGUCCGGAUUGGAGUCUGCAACUCGACUCCAUGAAGUCGGAAUCGCUAGUAAUCGUAGAUCAGAAUGCUACGGUGAAUACGUUCCCGGGCCUUGUACACACCGCCCGUCACACCAUGGGAGUGGGUUGCAAAAGAAGUAGGUAGCUUAACCUUCGGGAGGGCGCUUACCACUUUGUGAUUCAUGACUGGGGUGAAGUCGUAACAAGGUAACCGUAGGGGAACCUGCGGUUG
rnacentral:rRNA from 1 species